rnacentral:tRNA from 1 species
GGGGAAGUGGCUCAGUGGUAGAGCGCUUGCCUUGAAUGCACGAGGGCCUGGGUUCGAUUCCUCAGCACCA